AGCAGCCUCCGCGGGAAUACGUAGGUGGCAAGCGUUGUCCGGAAUUAUUGGGCGUAAAGGGCUCGCAGGCGGUUUCUUAAGUCUGAUGUGAAAGCCCCCGGCUCAACCGGGGAGGGUCAUUGGAAACUGGGAAACUUGAGUGCAGAAGAGGAGAGUGGAAUUCCACGUGUAGCGGUGAAAUGCGUAGAGAUGUGGAGGAACACCAGUGGCGAAGGCGACUCUCUGGUCUGUAACUGACGCUGAGGAGCGAAAGCGUGGGGAGCGAACAGGAUUAGAUACCCCAGUAGUCCCUGUCUCUUAUAA
rnacentral:rRNA from 1 species